ACCUCCUACAAAGUUGUGUCUGUGGUUUCCUGGUCUUGGACACAUAAGAAAUGGAGGCAAAGAAAUGUGGACUUGGAGAAGUCUGGAACCAGCUUGCUCCCUACAAGCUCAAGAUCAACUCAGGUGAGUUCAAUGAAC
rnacentral:snoRNA from 1 species